rnacentral:rRNA from 4 species
GUGACCUCAAAUCAGGUAGGACUACCCGCUGAACUUAAGCAUAUCAAUAAGCGGAGGAAAAGAAACUAACAAGGAUUCCCCUAGUAACUGCGAGUGAAGCGGGAAAAGCUCAAAUUUAAAAUCUGGCAGUCUCCGGCUGUCCGAGUUGUAAUCUAGAGAAGUGUUAUCCGCGUUGGACCGUGUACAAGUCUCCUGGAAUGGAGCAUCAUAGAGGGUGAGAAUCCCGUCUUUGACACGGACUGCCAGGGCUUUGUGAUGCGCUCUCAAAGAGUCGAGUUGUUUGGGAAUGCAGCUCAAAAUGGGUGGUAAAUUCCAUCUAAAGCUAAAUAUUGGCGAGAGACCGAUAGCGAACAAGUACCGUGAGGGAAAGAUGAAAAGAACUUUGGAAAGAGAGUUAAACAGUACGUGAAAUUGCUGAAAGGGAAACGCUUGAAGUCAGUCGCGUUGAUCAGGGAUCAACCUUGCUUUUGCUUGGUGCACUUUCUGGUUAAUGGGUCAGCAUCAAUUUUGACCAUUGGAAAAAGGUCAGGGGAAUGUGGCAUCUUCAGAUGUGUUUAUAGCCCUUGGUUGCAUACAAUGGUUGGGAUUGAGGAACUCAGCACGCCGAAAGGCCGGGUUGUUUU